AUAUAUAUCAACCUCUUCAGCUUUUUGCAUGUAGAGUUGUUGGAUGUGGGGGUUAUUUUUUGCUGGACUUCUUGAGAAAUCUGAGUUCAGCUCCUCUAAAAUACCUUAGCGAAACAAUUUGUUUACUCCUCAUUGGUGUGAUAACUAUCUACGAUAUUGACAAGGGGGCAUGUUUAGCUUCUAACAGUCCAUUUAACUUGGACAAUUUCUUAUUA
rnacentral:misc_RNA from 1 species